rnacentral:rRNA from 1 species
ACGCACGCUGGCGGCGUGCUUAACCCCUGCAAGUCGAACGGUGAAGCGCCUUCCUUUUUGGUGGGUGUGGAUGAGUGGCGAACGGGUGAGUAACACGUGAGUAACCUGCCCCCUUCUUCUGGAUAACCGCAUGAAAGUGUGGCUAAUACGGGAUAUUCUGGGUCUGUCGCAUGAUGGGUCUGGGAAAGAUAUUGUUUCGGUGGGGGAUGGGCUCGCGGCCUAUCAGCUUGUUGGUGGGGUGAUGGCCUACCAAGGCGGUGACGGGUAGCCGGCCUGAGAGGGUGGACGGUCACACUGGGACUGAGACACGGCCCAGACUCCUACGGGAGGCAGCAGUGGGGAAUAUUGCACAAUGGGCGCAAGCCUGAUGCAGCGACGCCGCGUGAGGGAUGGAGGCCUUCGGGUUGUGAACCUCUUUCGCCAGUGAAGCAGGCCUGCCUCGUUUGUGGGUGGGUUGACGGUAGCUGGAUAAGAAGCGCCGGCUAACUACGUG